GAUAAACGCUGGCGGCGUGCAUGAGACAUGCAAGUCGAACGAACUUCUCGGGCUUGCCCGAGAAGUUAGUGGCGGACGGCUGAGUAACGCGUAGGUGACCUGCCCCAAAGUGGGGAAUAACUGCCCGAAAGGGUGGCUAACACCGCAUGUGAUCGUUCAUUCAUUUGUUCGAUCAAAGCAGUAAUGCGCUUUGGGAGGGGCCUGCGUCCGAUUAGCUCGUUGGUGGGGUAAUGGCUCACCAAGGCGACGAUCGGUAGGUGGUCUGAGAGGACGAUCACCCAGACGGGGACUGAGACACGGCCCAGACUCCUACGGGAGGCAGCAGUCGGGAAUUUUGCUCAAUGGACGAAAGUCUGAAGCAGCAACGCCGCGUGAGGGAUGAAGGCCUUCGGGUUGUAAACCUCUUUUAUCAGGGACGAUGAUGACGGUACCUGAUGAAUAAGCCACGGCUAACUACGUGCCAGCAGCCGCCGUAA
rnacentral:rRNA from 1 species